UCGCAGCAUGCACGACUCUCCAGCAUUAUUUCUUGGAUUGACUUCUCGGUUUCGACUCCUGCCUCUCUCUGACCACGUCUUAUCGUCUCAGCCCUUGGAUCCCCUGUCAAGUUUCUUCGCUCCAGUGAGAACUUCAGGUUUUGCUGUGUUGCUGGCUUCCCGACCUACUGCCUGUCCAUGACUAUCUUUCCGUCUGAUCCCUCUGGAGUUAGUCUGCCCCGCUGAUUGUCUGCCUGGAUUCGACAUUGCCUCCGCUUCGACCACGAGCCCAGCCUGCCCCUCGACAGUGCCGCUGCACUUCACAAAGACUCUCAGGUGUAGUGUGUUUUCUGUGUGCACUCGCCUAUCUGCCUGUUGGACCUGUUUCCUGUUGGUCUUGAAGGUUCUACAGAGACUGCUAAAUCAAUCCCAGUGUCUUCAGUUACCUGUUUGCUGUGAACUGUUACAAUAAAAGUAUCUUCUAAACAACUACCUACCGUUGUGCUGCACUUGGGUCCUACAUCCACACCCCUGACAGUGGCAGCGUAAACCUUCAAAAUAAAACAAUAGAAACUUUCUUACAAUAUAAUAGUACUAGCCUGUCACUCUCCUGUAGCUCCAGGUGGUGCAUAAUAAUUCACAGAGUAUCAGCAAGUUCAUUCUCAUAGGCUACCUGGUAUACUGUGGCGUGUUGGCGUAUGAUGGACUUCAGGCAGCUCUGUCUGGUGUCACUUUGGUUGGCUG